UUUUCUAGAAAGGGAAAAAAUAAAAGUCAAAUGAGGCCAAGGGUCAUAAGUGAGAGGCAACAGCAAUGUUCCCUUGAUAAAAUGACCGAUCCCUCCUGUCACUAUCCAUUGAAGACAUGGAAAGGCGAAGUUGUA